rnacentral:rRNA from 1 species
GACGAACGCUGGCGGCGUGCCUAAUACAUGCAAGUAGAACGCACAGUUUAUACCGUAGCUUGCUACACCAUAGACUGUGAGUUGCGAACGGGUGAGUAACGCGUAGGUAACCUGCCUGGUAGCGGGGGAUAACUAUUGGAAACGAUAGCUAAUACCGCAUAAUAUUAAUUAUUGCAUGAUAAUUAAUUGAAAGGUGCAAUUGCACCACUACCAGAUGGACCUGCGUUGUAUUAGCUAGUAGGUGAGGUAACGGCUCACCUAAGCGACGUUACAUAGCCGACCUGAGAGGGUGAUCGGCAACACUGGGACUGAGACACGGCCCAGACUCCUAAGGGAGGCAGCAGUAGGGAAUCUUCGGCAAUGGACGAAAGUCUGACCGAGCAACGCCGCGUGAGUGAAGAAGGGUUUCGGAUCGUAAAGCUCUGUUGUAAGAGAAGAACGGGUGUGAGAGUGGAAAGUUCACACUGUGACGGUAUCUUACCAGAAAGGGACGGCUAACUACGUG